rnacentral:rRNA from 1 species
GAUGAACGCUGGCGGCGUGCCUAAUACAUGCAAGUCGAGCGAACGGACGAGAAGCUUGCUCCUCUGACGUUAGCGGCGGACGGGUGAGUAACACGUGGAUAACCUACCUAUAAGACUGGGAUAACUUCGGGAAACCGGAGCUAAUACCGGAUGAUAUUUUGAACCGCAUGGUUCAAUAGUGAAAGACGGUCUUGCUGUCACUUAUAGAUGGAUCCGCGCUGCAUUAGCUAGUUGGUAAGGUAACGGCUUACCAAGGCAACGAUGCAUAGCCGACCUGAGAGGGUGAUCGGCCACACUGGAACUGAGACACGGUCCAGACUCCUACGGGAGGCAGCAGUAGGGAAUCUUCCGCAAUGGGCGAAAGCCUGACGGAGCAACGCCGCGUGAGUGAUGAAGGUCUUCGGAUCGUAAAACUCUGUUAUUAGGGAAGAACAUAUGUGUAAGUAACUGUGCACAUCUUGACGGUACCUAAUCAGAAAGCCACGGCUAACUACGUG